GAUGAACGCUGGCGGCGUGCCUAAUACAUGCAAGUCGAGCGAACAGACGAGGAGCUUGCUCCUCUGACGUUAGCGGCGGACGGGUGAGUCACACGUGGAUAACCUACCUAUAAGACUGGGAUAACUUCGGGAAACGGGAGCUAAUACCGGAUAAUAUAUUGAACCGCAUGGUUCAAUAGUGAAAGACGGUUUUGCUGUCACUUAUAGAUGGAUCCGCGCCGCAUUGGCUAGUUGGUAAGGUAACGGCUUACCAAGGCAACGAUGCGUAUCCGACCUGAGAGAGUGAUCGGCCACCCUGGAGCGUAGCCACGCUCCAGACUCCUGCGAGACGCAGCAGUAGGGUAUCUUCCGCAAUGGUCGGAAGCCUUGCGGAGCGACCCCGCGUGAGUUAUGAAGGCCUUCGGAUCGUAAUACUCUGUUAUUAGUUAAGAACAAAUGUGUAAUUAACCAUGCACGUCGUGACGGUACCUAGUCAGAAAGCCCCGGCUAACUACGUG
rnacentral:rRNA from 1 species